rnacentral:rRNA from 1 species
GAUGAACGCUGGCGGCGUGCCUAAUACAUGCAAGUCGAGCGAACAGACGAGGAGCUUGCUCCUCUGACGUUAGCGGCGGACGGGUGAGUAACACGUGGAUAACCUACCUAUGAGACUGGGAUAACUUCGGGAAACCGGAGCUAAUACCGGAUAAUAUAUUGAACCGCAUGGUUCAAUAGUGAAAGACGGUUUUGCUGUCACUUAUAGAUGGAUCCGCGCCGCAUUAGCUAGUUGGUAAGGUAACGGCUUACCAAGGCAACGAUGCGUAGCCGACCUGAGAGGGUGAUCGGCCACACUGGAACUGAGACACGGUCCAGACUCCUACGGGAGGCAGCAGUAGGGAAUCUUCCGCAAUGGGCGAAAGCCUGACGGAGCAACGCCGCGUGAGUGAUGAAGGUCUUCGGAUCGUAAAACUCUAUUAUUAGGGAAGAACAAAUGUGUAAGUAACUAUGCACGUCUUGACGGUACCUAAUCAGAAAGCCACGGCUAACUACGUG